rfam:Oryza glumipatula chromosome 3, whole genome shotgun sequence.
AAAAAGACAAACCCUGGGUUUUCGUGUCCAACUUUGACUGUCCGUCUUACAUGAAAUUUUUUUAUAAUUCGUAUUUUUAUUUAUGUUAGAUGAUAAAACAUGAUUAAUAUUUUAUGCGUGACUUGUCUUUUUAAUUUUUUUCAUAAUUUUUUCAAAUAAGACGAACGGUCAAACGUUGGGCACGGAAACCAGGGUUUGUCUUUUU